GCUGUAGAUGUCAUGCUGUGUAUGCGUGUGUCCCUGAUCAGAGAUGGCACGACUGGGGAAAGUCUCUGAAACUUACAAGAAUUGUCCUGUCUGCACUGGAGAGAGCAGCAAUGAAGAGAAGAUGUUGCGGUCUAUAGGGGGCGCUAGAGUACACCAUUUGAGUGAAUCUUGCAGAACAGUUGAUUUAGUUCGUGUAGCACUGAAGACAUACAAUCACGAACGAAAAUAUAUCCUCCUCUUUUUUUAAAAAGCAGUUUUUAUGCCUUCCCCUUUCAUAAUCUAACUCUACAUGGCCCGUCAUCAGAGACGCAGCGGGCUCUCACAGGAAGACAGGGUGCAGGUAGUCAUGGUGUGAUGUGAUGGGGGAAAUCACCAGCUCUCUCAGUAGGGCCACUGGCACAUCAUAAGUGAAAUUCUCUCUCUUAUUUUGUUUCACUUUCUCUUAAAAGGAAGCCGCUGAUGACUUUUCACAGCCAUCGUGGAGGAUGCGAGUAAAUGCACAUGUGUUUUUAAUUGUUUUUCUUGAUGUUCAUUAACGACAGUGUCUCUCUAAUGAGCUUUAGCUGCUCCUCAGCAGAAACACAUGCAUCUAUCUAUCCAUCCAUCCAUCCAUCCAUCCAUCCAUCCAUCCAUCCAUCCAUCCAUCCAUCCAUCCAUCCAUCCAUCCAUCCAUCCAUCCAUCCAUCCAUACAUCAUCUGUAGAUUGUAACCUUAAGGUAACUGGUAUUAUUAUUAGUUCUGAAAGGUAUGUUUCAUUUACAGUGCAUCUUCCAGUUGUGCAAAAAAAAAAAAAAAAAAAUAGAUGUCCAAAUGAUAAAAUAUAGAUUAGCAUUUUGAUACUGUCUGGUCUGGCUCAUCGUUUUGCUUCAAAGAAGAGGAAGAUAAAUGAUGAUGCCAUUAAAAGUGAACUAAUUAAGGAAUGCUUCUUUUAAAAACUCAUUAACGGCACCCUCAUUUACAUAAUGAUGCAUAUUAAUUAAGUUUUAAUGAAUCCUAGCUUCAAUCAAGUCAC
ensembl:lncRNA